ACAAAUAAACUGCAGCUGUUUGCACUUUUAAUUCUAAUGGCGCUAGUGAUCUUAGCCAAUGCACAGUGAGGUAGAUGGUUCAGGGAGCAAAGCAUGGUUCAUGGAGCAAAGAAAUAUCCAGUGGGCACAGUUGGAGAAUUACAGAACUUGGUUGCAUCGGGGGGUCACCACGUUUCUAUUAAUUGCUACAUUAGAUGCUCCAAAAUUAAAUGCUACCUCCAUGCCAAAAGGCUAUUUGGAAUGGCUUCAGGAAAAAUGGUUUCACUGGGAGUAAUCGACAGUUUCAAGAAUCUAAAUUGUCUCCUUUGUCUCAUCUACUGUGGUCCUGAGAGAUGACAUUAGAGCUCUUUGGCCAAGCAUAGCUGUUAUUUCAUUUGUGGCCUUCAUGUUAGCUUGAACUAGUCUGCCCAUUCUCCUCUGAUCUCUCAUUAACAAUGUUUUUUUGUUUAUCACACCAUUCUCUGUGAACUCUAUAGGCUGUACUGCAUGAAAAUCCCAGGAGGGCAGCUUUUUCUGUGAUGCUGGAACCACCACAUCUGGCACCAUCCAUCUGCCACAGUCAAAGUCGCUUAGAUCACACAUCUUGCCCAUUCUAAUAGAUAGGGGGUGCUGUUUCUAUCUCUCAGAGGAGCCAAAGACCAAAGGAGGAACCCUCAGCAGUGAGAGGAAGAGGGUCCAGGUAGAAAGAACAGGGUCACCUGUACCCAGUUGUGUGUCUCUGAAGAGUGAUCAUUCAAUGGAACCUCAAUUCAAUUUCAGAGGAAAGUUCACAGGUGACCAAAGGGUCCAGGUAGAAAGAGCAGGGUCACCUGUACCCAGCUGUGUGUCUCUGAAGAGUGAUCGUUCAAUGGAUCCUCUAUUCAAUUUCAGAGGAAAGUUCACAGGUGACCAAAGCGUCUGGCUCUGCCCUGGGAUCCUGUGGAACACACUGUGACAGGAGCCUGCAGUACUCUGCUAACUUAUCUCCCAUAACAUGCAACUCCCCCCCUGUGAGGCAUAAAUCCCCUGGAGUCCUCAUGGGGCGGCCUGUCAGAACCUCAAUGGGAGAAAGUUCAUUAGGGUUAAUUAGUCCUGCUCUCAUGGAGAGAAGCACAGCUAGUAGCUGUGUCACCCAAUCCUUCCCUCCAGUAGAAAACAAUUGUUUAGUUAGUUUAUUCUUCAGUGUUCGGUUGGCCCUAUAUAAUCAAUUUGCAACUGUGCAAAAACCUGGUUAAAUCUUGGUUGUUUCAUUUUAGUCUUAAGGGUGGGCCCUGGAUUACAUUGUGCACAUGUGAUACAUCUUCAAACAUAUUUGUGACUGUUUACCCCUAGCUUAGGGUGCCACCAGGUUUGCCCCAUCUGGUUUCGCAUGCGCCUUACCCAAUUAUGUCCCAAGGAACGAUACACUUCUAUCAUGGACCCCAUUAAUGAAUAAGGCAGGAUUACUGGUCCCCUCCAAAUAUUGUUGUGAGGGAGUCCGGCGGCGGUUGGAGCAGCAAAAGAGUGGCAGGAGACAAAAACUUCUGUCCACCCAGGUUUAUUUACAGGAGACGUGCUUCAAACCCAGAACCGGUGCAAAAUAUGUACAGGUGACAACACAACAAAAUAUAUAUACAACAAAUACCAUAAACAAAACAAAAAAGAGUAAACAAAACACAGUAGGCUAUGCCUAGUAGGCCCAACUUGUUGAAAUAAGCUGCGUGUCUAGAUGACCAUUCAGCACACACAAAAAAUAGAAAUUCCACCCCAGGAGGACUUUUCCUCUGGCUUAUAUAGCCCAAGCCCCUCCCCCGGCAAUCCUAUUACGAAAAAAAUAAA